rnacentral:rRNA from 1 species
UACGUAGGGUGCAAGCGUUUGUCCGGAAUUAUUGGGCGUAAAGAGCUCGUAGGCGGCUUGUCGCGUCGACCGUGAAAACUUGGGGCUCAACCCCAAGCCUGCGGUCGAUACGGGCAGGCUCGAGUUCGGUAGGGGAGACUGGAAUUCCUGGUGUAGCGGUGAAAUGCGCAGAUAUCAGGAGGAACACCGAUGGCGAAGGCAGGUCUCUGGGCAUUAACUGACGCUGAGGAGCGAAAGCAUGGGGGAGCGAACAGG